rnacentral:lncRNA from 1 species
AGUUUUGUUCCUCACUAACAUAUUGAGUCUAUAUCGAGAUUUGAGCUUUAAAAAUUGACGUUGUUGUUGUGAACAAGAAGUGGCAGUGAGUUGAAGUUGUUGUUUUAACUUGGCUGUGUGGUGACCUUGUUGUUGGGCGUUUGUUGAUGUUGUUUUUGAUCUUAGUUGUUGUUGUUGUGUUCUUGUUGUUCAUCACAACCUUCAUCUAGUGUUAAAACCGAAAAUACAACACCAAAGAAACUUGGCCAUUUGUUAGUGGUUUUAUUGUUGGUCUUGUUGUUGUGGAAUUGGGUGUUGGAACUUGUUGUU